rnacentral:rRNA from 1 species
GACGAACGCUGGCGGCGUGCUUAACACAUGCAAGCCGAACGGAAAGACCCUGCUUUUGUGGGGUUCUCGAGUGGCGAACGGGUGAGUAACACGUGAGUAUCCUGCCCUUGACUUUGGGAUAACUUCAGGAAACUGGGGCUCAUACCGGAUAUGAGCUCCUGCUGCAUGGUGGGGGUUGGAAAGUUUCGGCGGUUGGGGAUGUACUCGCGGCUUAUCAGCUUGUUGGUGGGGUAGUGGCUUACCAAGGCUUUGACGGGUAGCCGGCCUGAGAGGGUGACCGGCCACAUUGGGACUGAGAGACGGCACAGACUCCGAAGGGAGGCAGAAGUGGGGAAUAUUGCACAAUGGGCGGAAGCCUGAUGCAGCAACGCCGCGGGCGGGAUGACGGCCUUCGGGUUGUAAACCGAUUUCGCCUGUGACGAAGCGUGAGUGAAGGUAAUGGGUAAAGAAGCACAGGCUAACUAAGUG